rnacentral:rRNA from 1 species
CCUACGGGCGGCAGCAGUGGGGAAUAUUGCACAAUGGGCGCAAGCCUGAUGCAGCCAUGCCGCGUGUGUGAAGAAGGCCUUCGGGUUGUAAAGCACUUUCAGCGGGGAGGAAGGCGUUAAGGUUAAUAACCUUGUCGAUUGACGUUACCCGCAGAAGAAGCACCGGCUAACUCCGUGCCAGCAGCCGCGGUAAUACGGAGGGUGCAAGCGUUAAUCGGAAUUACUGGGCGUAAAGCGCACGCAGGCGGUCUGUCAAGUCGGAUGUGAAAUCCCCGGGCUCAACCUGGGAACUGCAUUCGAAACUGGCAGGCUAGAGUCUUGUAGAGGGGAGUAGAAUUCCAGGUGUAGCGGUAAAAUGCGUAGAGAUCUGGAGGAAUACCGGUGGCGAAGGCGGCCCCCUGGACAAAGACUGACGCUCAGGUGCGAAAGCGUGGGGAGCAAACAGGAUUAGAUACCCGAGUAGUC